UGGGGAAUAUUGCACAAUGGGCGCAAGCCUGAUGCAGCAACGCCGCGUGAGGGACGACGGCCUUCGGGUUGUAAACCUCUUUUAGUAGGGAAGAAGCGAAAGUGACGGUACCUGCAGAAAAAGCACCGGCUAACUACGUGCCAGCAGCCGCGGUAAUACGUAGGGUGCGAGCGUUGUCCGGAAUUAUUGGGCGUAAAGAGCUCGUAGGCGGUCUGUCGCGUCUGCUGUGAAAACCCCGAGGCUCAACCUCGGGCCUGCAGUGGGUACGGGCAGACUAGAGUGCGGUAGGGGAGAAUGGAAUUCCUGGUGUAGCGGUGGAAUGCGCAGAUAUCAGGAGGAACACCGAUGGCGAAGGCAGUUCUCUGGGCCGUAACUGACGCUGAGGAGCGAAAGCGUGGGGAGCGAACAGGAUUAGAUACCCUGGUAGUCCACGCCGUAAACGUUGGGCGCUAGAUGUGGGGACCAUUCCACGGUUUCCGUGUCGCAGCUAACGCAUUAAGCGCCCCGCCU
rnacentral:rRNA from 1 species